rnacentral:rRNA from 1 species
GACGAACGCUGGCGGCGUGCUUAACACAUGCAAGUCGAACGGAAAGGCCUUGUUUUUUUGGGGGGCUCGAGGGGGGAACGGGUGGUUAGCCAGUCAGUAACCUGCCUUCUACUUUGGGAUAACUCCAGGAACCUGGGCCCACUACGGGAUGGGAGUACCGGCUUCAGGGUGGGGGUUGAAAAGUUUCGGCGGUUGGGGAUGGACUCGCGGCUUCUCAGCUUGUUGGUGGGGUAGUGGCUUACCAAGGCUUUGACGGGUAGCCGGCCUGAGAGGGUGACCGGCCACAUUGGGACUGAGAUACGGCCCAGACUCCUACGGGAGGCAGCAGUGGGGCAUAUUGCACAAUGGGCGGCAGCCUGAUGCAGCAACGCCGCGUGCGGGAUGACGGCCUUCGGGUUGUAAACCGCUUUCGCCUGUGACGAAGCGUGAGUGACGGUAAUGGGUAAAGAAGCACCGGCUAACUACGUG